UACGGAGGGUCCAAGCGUUAUCCGGAAUCAUUGGGUUUAAAGGGUCCGUAGGCGGUUUUGUAAGUCAGUGGUGAAAGCCCAUCGCUCAACGGUGGAACGGCCAUUGAUACUGCAAGACUUGAAUUAUUAGGAAGUAACUAGAAUAUGUAGUGUAGCGGUGAAAUGCUUAGAGAUUACAUGGAAUACCAAUUGCGAAGGCAGGUUACUACUAAUUGAUUGACGCUGAUGUGCGAAAGCUAGGGGAGCGAACGGG
rnacentral:rRNA from 1 species